UACGGAGGGUGCAAGCGUUAUCCGGAUUCACUUGGGUUUAAAGGGUGCGUAGGUGGGUUGGUAAGUCAGUGGUGAAAUCUCCGGGCUUAACUCGGAAACUGCCGUUGAUACUAUCAAUCUUGAAUGUUGUGGAGGUAAGCGGAAUAUGUCAUGGUAGCGGUGAAAUGCUUAGAGUAAUGACAUAGAACACCGAUAGCGAAGGCAG
rnacentral:rRNA from 1 species